AAGAUGAUGGAAUCGUUAGAAGGAAAGCUAAGACAAGCAACACCUAUCGAAUUUUUCCGAGAGAAAUCUUUACCAACUAUUUAAAUCGCACUGUUCCCUGUUCUACUACGAGGCCGGCGUAAUUCGCGAGAACUAUGCAGAAAGUAUUCGAAGCAGAAACGAGGAACAAACUAUUCUAUAUAUAUAUAUAUAUAUACAAAAGAAACGCAAAGAGAGAAAGUAACUGGAACAAAUUUCUAUAAAUACUUGCAACAUUUACGUUGCGAUAUAUGAAUGCUACGCCUCGAGAAGCAUAUAAACUAGCUUGGCGAGAAAGGAAAGGGUCGAACCAGGCCGAACUUAUCUUUCUAUCCCGGCAUUGUUUUAUUUUCUCGAGUAAUUCAUUGAUUUCACGCGCGUCCGGGGAUCACCAGACACUUAUGCAACCCGUAGUGGUAGAUCUGACAUUUAGACUUUAGAAAGUUCCUUCCUCUACACACUCUCCAAACGAAAUAAAUGUCUCCGAUGUCGCGACUGUUAAAUUAUUCUUUUCAACAAUUCGUAGAUCUCGAUGAUUACAAUUGUACCUUCCUUCGUUUCGUCGCACAAUUAUUAUUAAUCCCCCGAAUAAUCGAAUUCCAAUUAACAAACAAAAUGCACUACAUUUUAACAUUACUUAACUUUCUUCUAAUUUCGAAAAUGCUGUUAUUAGCCCCACUCUCUGUCCAUCCGCAACGUCUCUUCCCCACUUUCGCCUCGAUUUCAUAGAUGGAUAACCAGUCCGUGGUCAAUCAAGAUUGAUCGAAGGGAUUCGCGCUUUUAUCCCCCCCUCCCUAUCCUCGCCUCGAACUUCGAGAAGAACGAUUAUCCGCAUUCUUCUCGCAAACUGUUUCGAAACACGCUCAACGGAUAACACACGUUCUCG